rnacentral:rRNA from 1 species
UACGAAGGGGGCUAGCGUUGCUCGGAAUCACUGGGCGUAAAGCGCACGUAGGCGGAUGUUUAAGUCAGGGGUGAAAUCCUGGAGCUCAACUCCAGAACUGCCUUUGAUACUGGCGAUCUUGAGUCCGGGAGAGGUGAGUGGAACUCCGAGUGUAGAGGUGAAAUUCGUAGAUAUUCGGAAGAACACCAGUGGCGAAGGCGGCUCACUGGCCCGGUACUGACGCUGAUGUGCGAAAGCGUGGGGAGCAAACAGG